rnacentral:rRNA from 1 species
UACGUAGGGUGCGAGCGUUGUCCGGAAUUAUUGGGCGUAAAGGGCUCGUAGGCGGUUUGUCGCGUCGGGAGUGAAAACUCAGGGCUUAACCCUGAGCCUGCUUCCGAUACGGGCAGACUAGAGGUAUGCAGGGGAGAACGGAACUCCUGGUGUAGCGGUGGAAUGCGCAGAUAUCAGGAGGAACACCGGUGGCGAAGGCGGUUCUCUGGGCAUUACCUGACGCUGAGGAGCGAAAGUGUGGGGAGCGAACAGG